rnacentral:rRNA from 1 species
AUUGAACGCUGGCGGCAUGCUUUACACAUGCAAGUCGAACGGCAGCGCGGGCUUCGUCCUGGCGGCGAGUGGCGAACGGGUGAGUAAUGCAUCGGAACGUGCCCAGUAUUGGGUGAUAGCCCGGCGAAAGCCGGAUUACUACCGCAUACGACCUGAGGGUGAAAGCUGGGGACCGAAAGACCUCGCGCUAUUGUAGCGGCCGAUGUCGGGUUAGCUAGUUGGUGGGGUAAAGGCUUACCAAGUCGCCGAUCCGUAGCUGGUCUGAGAGGACGACCAGCCACACUGGGACUGAGACGCGGACCAGAAUACUAAGGGAGGCAGCAGUGGGGAACUUUGGACAAUGGGGGGAAACCUGAUCCAGCCAUGGCGCGUGCGGGAAAAAGGCCCUCGGGGUGUGAACCGCGUUUGCUCGGGAAGAAAUCCUGUGGGCUAAUACCCCGGGGGGAUGACGGUACCGGAAGAAUAAGCACCGGCUAACUACGUG